rnacentral:rRNA from 1 species
AGAACGAACGCUGGCGGCAUGCCUAAUACAUGCAAGUCGAACGAACUCUUCGGAGUUAGUGGCGCACGGGUGCGUAACGCGUGGGAAUCUGCCCCUUGGUUCGGAAUAACAGUUGGAAACGACUGCUAAUACCGGAUGAUGACGAAAGUCCAAAGAUUUAUCGCCAAGGGAUGAGCCCGCGUAGGA